CGAACGGGUGAGUAACACGUGGGCAACCUGCCCAAAAGAGGGGGAUAACACUUGGAAACAGGUGCUAAUACCGCAUAACCAUAGUUACCGCAUGGUAACUAUGUAAAAGGUGGCUAUGCUACCGCUUUUGGAUGGGCCCGCGGCGCAUUAGCUAGUUGGUGGGGGUAAAGGCUUACCAAGGCAAUGAUGCGUAGCCGAACUGAGAGGUUGAUCGGCCACAUUGGGACUGAGACACGGCCCAAACUCCUACGGAAGGCAGCAG
rnacentral:rRNA from 1 species